rnacentral:rRNA from 1 species
GGAUGACACUUUUCGGAGCGUAAACUCCUUUUCUUAGGGAGGAAUUCUGACGGUACCUAAGGAAUAAGCACCGGCUAACUCCGUGCCAGCAGCCGCGGUAAUACGGAGGGUGCAAACGUUACUCGGAAUCACUGGGCGUAAAGGGCGCGUAGGCGGAUUAUCAAGUCUCUUGUGAAAUCUAAUGGCUUAACCAUUAAACUGCUUGGGAAACUGAUAAUCUAGAGUGGGGGAGAGGCAGAUGGAAUUGGUGGUGUAGGGGUAAAAUCCGUAGAUAUCACCAAGAAUACCCAUUGCGAAGGCGAUCUGCUGGAACUUAACUGACGCUAAGGCGCGAAAGCGUGGGGAGCAAACAGGAUUAGAUACCCUGGUAGUCCACGCCCUAAACGAUGUACACUAGUUGUUGGGGUGCUAGUCAUCUCAGUAAUGCAGCUAACGCAUUAAGUGUACCGCCUGGGGAGUACGGUCGCAAGAUUAAAACUCAAAGGAAUAGACGGGGACCCGCACAAGCGGUGGAGCAUGUGGUUUAAUUCGAAGAUACGCGAAGAACCUUACCUAGGCUUGAUAUCCAACAAAUUCUGUAGAGAUACGGAAGUGCUAGCUUGCUAGAAUGUUGAGACAGGUGCUGCACGGCUGUCGUCAGCUCGUGUCGUGAGAUGUUGGGUUAAGUCCCGCAACGAGCGCAACCCACGUAUUUAGUUGCUAACAGUUAGGCUGAGCACUCUAAAUAGACUGCCUUCGUAAGGAGGAGGAAGGUGUGGACGACGUCAAGUCAUCAUGGCCCUUAUGCCUAGGGCGACACACGUGCUACAAUG